GUGGGCAGACUGCACUGUUCUGAUCCCUCGUCGAGGAUUGCGGGUCCUUCAGAGCUUCCAUGGGUGGACUUCAGCAUGAGAGAGAAGAAAAGAAAAAAAGGUAGAGGGGGAAAAAGUUCACAUCUGGAUUUACUGGUUUUAUUUGCCUGAAUAUAGUAAAGUAUGGGAGAAGUUUAAUUUCCAGUACUUUUAGAGAGGGUAAGGAACUGUAUUUGGACAUUUUCUUGUUUUUGCAAUCUGGAAAGCACAUGUCUAUGUUGAAAACCAUGUCUGUGCUGACCUUACAGUCCAGACUUAUGUAUUUACAUUUGCAAUGUCAGCCUGCCAUUUUUCUUUU